rnacentral:rRNA from 1 species
GUUACCAAACUGUUGCCUCGGCGGGAUCUCUGCCCCGGGUGUGUCGCAGCCCCGGACCAAGGCGCCCGCCGGAGGACCAACCAAAACUCUUAUUGUAUACCCCCUCGCGGGUUUUUUACUAUCUGAGCCAUCUCGGCGCCCCUCGUGGGCGUUUCGAAAAUGAAUCAAAACUUUCAACAACGGAUCUCUUGGUUCUGGCAUCGAUGAAGAACGCAGCGAAAUGCGAUAAGUAAUGUGAAUUGCAGAAUUCAGUGAAUCAUCGAAUCUUUGAACGCACAUUGCGCCCGCCAGUAUUCUGGCGGGCAUGCCUGUCCGAGCGUCAUUUCAACCCUCGAACCCCUCCGGGGGGUCGGCGUUGGGGAUCGGCCCUUUACGGGGCCGGCCCCGAAAUACAGUGGCGGUCUCGCCGCAGCCUCUCCUGUUGCAGUAGUUUGCCCACUCGCAUCGGGAGCGCGGCGCGUGCCACAGCCGUUAAACACCCCAAACUUUCUGAAAUGUUGACCUCGGAUCAGGUAGAAU